GGGCCCGCACAAGCAGUGGAGCAUGUGGUUUAAUUCGAUGCAACGCGAAGAACCUUACCAGGCCUUGACAUCCUCGGAACUUUCUAGAGAUAGAUUGGUGCCUUCGGGAACCGAGUGACAGGUGCUGCAUGGCUGUCGUCAGCUCGUGUCGUGAGAUGUUGGGUUAAGUCCCGUAACGAGCGCAACCCUUGUCCUUAGUUGCCAGCACUUCGGGUGGGAACUCUAAGGAGACUGCCGGUGACAAACCGGAGGAAGGUGGGGGACGACGUCAAGUCAUCAUGGCCCUUACGGCCUGGGCUACACACGUGCUACAAUGGCCGGUACAGAGGGCUGCGAUCUCGCGAGAGU
rnacentral:rRNA from 1 species